AUAAAGAGAGUGUACGGGCCUAUGACCUAUGAAUUGACAGCCAGUGGAUGUGAAGUCUGCCUGUCAAUUCUGUAGGCCACAGGUUCGUCCACCUUGUUGCGAUA
rnacentral:pre_miRNA from 17 species